rnacentral:rRNA from 1 species
UACGGGGGGGGCAAGCGUUGUUCGGAAUUACUGGGCGUAAAGGGUGCGUAGGCGGUCCGCUAAGUUGGAUGUGAAAACUCUGGGCUUAACCCAGAGCCUGCAUUCAAAACUGACGGGCUAGAGUUCUGGAGGGGGUAGCGGAAUUCCUGGUGUAGCGGUGAAAUGCGUAGAUAUCAGGAGGAACACCGGUGGCGAAGGCGGCGACCUGGGUCGAGACUGACGCUGAGGCGCGAAAGCGUGGGGAGCAAACAGG